AUGGAGCCUGUGGUGCGCCUCAGGCGCCAGUGCCUGGCCCCGGCCAGGGGUUCUCAGGCGCCCGCCAAGGAGUCCACGCAGGAGGCCUCCGGGGCCAAGGCCGGCAUGAACCGGGUAUUCCUGCAGCGGCUUCUGUGGCUCCUGCGGCUGUCCCCCUGGUCUCAGGCCGAGACGGGGCUGCUGGCCCUGCACUCGGCCGCCCUGGUGAGCCGCACCUUCCUGUCGGUGUAUGUGGCCCGCCUGGGACGGAAGGCUGGUCUCACGACGGGCGGGCGAGUGACCUGCUGGCUCUUUGGGCUGGCAGCUGCUACAAUGGCUCUCAUCGCCCUCCCUGCUACCUUACAACAGUGCCACCAUACCUGGAGUGGGCCAGUUGGCCCUGUCGCUCCGCAGAGCCGUCUGCGCCCAUGCCUACCGCCUCUACUUCUCCCAGCAUUCUACCAUCAAGUCAGCUAACACGGGACGGCGGCUUCGUAACCUCUGGACCAGCCCCUGAGCCAGAGGACGGGUGGCCUUGGGCGCCCUGUGGCCCACCUCUACUCCAACCCACCCGCCACUCCUGGACGGGCCGACUCCUACACCCUGCUUCCAGGUGGCCCGCCUCCUGUGGGGCCGGUGAGGCCUGGCCUCACACGCUGGCCUCGUGGUGUUCCUCACGGCAACGCGCGGCCUUCUCACCAAGUUUGGGGAGCUGGUGGCAGAGGAGGCGCGCGGAAGGGGAGCUGUUACACACUUUGUGGUGGCAACUCUGGAGGAGAUCGCUUUCUUGGGGCCAGACGAGGUGGAGCUGGCGCUGCUACAGCACUCCUACCAGGACCUGGCCUCGCAGAUCAACCUCAUCCUUCUGGAACGCUCUGUAUGUCAUGCUGGAGCAGUUCCUCAUGGCUGGUGUGUGGAGCCACCCAGGCCUGCUCAUGGUGGCUGUCCUCAUCACCACAACUGGUUAUCAGAGUCAGCUGCAGAGGCCGUGGAAGGCUGCAGCCUUGGAAAAGAAGGAGGAGGAGCUGGUGAGUGAGCGCACAGAAGCCUUCACUAUUGCCCCAACCUCCUGACAGCGGCUGCAGAUGCCAUUGAGCUGGGACUGGGCGUCGUCAGCAUGCUGGAGGUGGAUGAGCUUAAGGCUUAGCAUACCCAGGUGCACCAGAUGUUCAGGUGUUUAGUGAGAUGUCUGAAAUGUCACCAAGAGCCCAUGAGCUGAGACCAUGGGCCUGGGACCAUGAAAUGAUCUGGUGUCCACAGAGGCCUCUGAAGACCCAGGCCAGGCAGAUGCAUGGUGGACACUGAGAACAUCCCCAUCAUCACGCCCUCAGGAGAGGUGGUGGUGGCCAGCCUCAACAUCAGGGUGGAGGAAGGCAUGCAUCUGCUCAUCACGGGCCCCAACGGCUGCGGCAAGAGCUCCCUGUUCCGGAUCCUGGGUGGGCUCUGGCCCACGUACGGCGGUGUGCUCUACAAGCCCCCACCCCAGCGCAUGUUCUACAUCCCGCAGAGGCCCUAUAUGUCUGUGGGCUCCCUGCGUGACCAGGUGAUCUACCCGGACUCAGUGGAGGACAUGCGAAGGAAGGGCUACUCAGAGCAGGACCUGGAAGCCAUCCUGGACAUCGUGCAUCUGCACCACAUCCUGCAGCGAGAGGGAGGUUGGGAGGCUAUGUGUGACUGGAAGGACGUCCUGUCGGGUGGCGAGAAGCAAAGAAUCGGCAUGGCCCGCAUGUUCUACCACAGGCCCAAGUACGCCCUCCUGGAUGAAUGCACCAGUGCCGUGAGCAUCGAUGUGGAAGGCAAGAUCUUCCAGGCAGCCAAGGACGCGGGCAUCGCCCUGCUCUCCAUCACCCACCGGCCCUCCCUGUGGAAGUACCACACACACUUGCUACAGUUCGACGGGGAGGGUGGCUGGAAGUUCGAGAAGCUGGACUCGGCUGCUCGCCUGAGCCUGACAGAGGAGAAGCAGCGGCUGGAGCAGCAGCUGGCAGGCAUUCCCAAGAUGUAGCGGCGCCUCCAAGAGCUCUGCCAGAUCCUGGGCGAGGCCAUGGCCCCAGCACAGGUGCCGGCACCUAGCCCACAAGACCCUGGUGGCCUCCAGGGUGCCUCCACCUGACUCGGCCCUCCCCGGCCCCUGCCCCGCCCCCAAGCUCAGAUCGUAUGAAGGAGACAGCAGCACACACCUGUGCAUGCACCCUGCCCCUGCAUGCCUGGCCCCUCCUAGAAGACCCUUCCCGCCCUUGGGAAAGUAGAUGUGGAGGGUGACGCCCUGCAUAACCCCCACCCUGUCCCUCCCACUCCCUGGGGGGCUGUUCCACAGUGACUGGGCCCUGUCCAGGGCAGUGAGUCUUCUACUUUGCUCCGCGGAGGAAGCUGGGGCACGGGGGCCCAGUGCUGGCCACAGCAGCACAGCCGAGCCCCAGGAGCCACUCAGGCCACAGCCCCUGGUGCUGCAGGUGGCCUCCCUCCGGAGACUCGAGUCCCCAUGAUUCCCUCCUCGUCAGUCUCUCAAAGACCCCAUGAUCCCAUCCCCUGAGGGUGGCCAGCCAAGGCUUCUGUCCCAUGGGAUGCCAUAAAAGCCGCCCAGUGGGACCCAUGGUCACACAGAGCCCCUCACCUGCAUCCUCUCCCCCACAAGAGCCCUGAAGAGCCCACGGGAGGGGGACGCACAGCACUGCCUGCCGAGCGAGAAUGUAGCCGCAGCCCCCUCAGCCUCUCACCUCUUCUUUCUACAGCCUAAUUUAUUGGAUUCCCUAUUCGUAGCCAUCUCCAUGGCCAAUGUGACUACCCUGCCAGCAGCGGGGGUGGCCCAGCCUCUGAGUCCCAUGGGGCCCUGGCUCCCACCGGUGCCAAACGCAGCCCCUGUGGCCGUCACCCCGCCAGCCUACACUUCCAGCCGCCACCGGAGCACACGGGCCUCUGCUUGCCAGCCAGGAGUGCGGACACCAUGUUCCCAGCUCAGUGCCAAAGAGGGGUCACCAGGGGGAGCUGUCUAUAGAGCCAGCACCUGCCCGAGAGACCCCACCGCCACCGUGUGCCUUUCCCAGGCCCUCAGCCCUCGGGCCGGGCGCCACCCCCAGUCCCCUCAGUAAAAGCCUCCAUUGGCAAAAAAAAAAAAAAAAAAAAAA